rnacentral:lncRNA from 1 species
UUGAUAUGUCAGAAAUCAACCCACAAAUUUUCAGAGUUUUUCAGUAAGGUUUGCUAACUUGUUGAUCUACUUUAAUCUCUCCAAAAUCCUGAAAAAAAAAACUGCUUAGCAGAUUCAAACUUGCUCUCUCUGUAAAAUUUAUUUCAAAACCUCUUUUUGAAGUUUGGUUUCAGCCAAAGUCUUCUACUAACUUUCUUCUAACACCCUGAGGAGUGGCAUACCCUGGAUCACUCUCUAACCCUUUCUUCUCUCCCUCCAAAAAUCCAAUCAGCUGCUAACUGCACUGUCAACUGCUGCUAACCAACACUGUCAACACAUGUUCAUCACUCCAUCAAACCUAAACCAGAGACUUCUAACCCAACCCACUUCAGCACAUUUACUCUCCACAUCACCCCUGACCAAGAGGAUAUCUAGCCAGAUUUCUUGCUGCUCAAAAUCCACCUUGAAUCCCCUCCAAAGAUCCUUGGCAGGUAACCCUCAUUGACUUAGCCUCCAAGGCUAUUUUCGAAUUUCUUUCACUGACAGUGGGCCCCACAACCCCCGGGACCCACAUGACAGCCUCCCACUCUCCCCUCACAGCAUCCACCGUUCCUCAUGCCCAAUAAAUGCCCAAGGAACACAAUGAGUGCACCAGCCACCUCUCUCUCUCUCACUCCCCCACUCCACUCUUCCUUAUUUCCCAAGCCAAAGCACCAGAAGCAACAGCUCGCUCCCCACAUCGCGUUCCAAGUCCAAGAAAACACACCCCACGCACAGAAUGCCCAGAGCUCGGCCAUCUUCCCCGGCUCCGGCGACUUAGCCGUCGUCGCCGUGCAUCCCCGGACCAAUCUGUCGAGCACGUGGUGGGCGUCACCGUCCUCGCCGCCGGCCACCCGAACCGCCGACGCCGCUCCGGCCGCCGUUCCUCACCACCGAAGCAACACCAAGCUCCGGUGAGUUUCCGCCGGAUUCCUCGCGCAUGCACCCUCUGUGGCUCAUCUCUAACACCCCCGUACUCUCGAAGUUACAGUUCGCGCC